AUUUUGGACAGAUUUGGAGUCUAACUUUUUUUUGAACCCACCAACUUUAUCUACUCCUUAAACCUUACAGAUAUCAUCUGUUUCUACGAUAAUUCAGGUGUGAGGAUGGUGGGUCAGGAAAGACAGGGGAAGGCAACAGGUGAAGAAUCCCACUAUGAGCACCAUGACGGGCAGAGCCACACAGAGCACGAUGCGGCUGAUGGGCAGCUCGACGGGACAGUCUAUGGUGGGUGAAGAAGGAAUCAGAU